CCCUUAGAUGUUCUGGGCCGCACGCGCGCUACACUGACGCAUUCAACGAGCCUAGCCUUGACCGAGAGGUCCGGGUAAUCUUUGAAACUGCAUCGUGAUGGGGCUAGAUUAUUGCAAUUAUUAAUCUUCAACGAGGAAUGCCUAGUAAGCGUGAUUCAUCAAAUCGCGUUGAUUACGUCCCUGCCCUUUGUACACACCGCCCGUCGCUCCUACCGAUUGAGUGUGUUGGUGAGGAGUUUGGAUUGGCCUCGGAAGGUGGUUCGCCACCGUCCGUAGCUGAGAAGUUCUCCAAACCGCCCCACUUAGAGGAAGGAGAAGUCGUAACA
rnacentral:rRNA from 1 species